rnacentral:rRNA from 1 species
AGGACGAACGCUGGCGGCGUGCCUAACACAUGCAAGUCGAACGGAGUAUAAAAGGAAGCUUGCGAAUUUUAUACUUAGUGGCGGACGGGUGAGUAACGCGUGGAUAACCUGCCUGAUAGCCUGGGAUAACAGCUGGAAACGGCUGCUAAUACCGGAUACGCUUGCGGAGUCGCAUGGCUCUGCAAGGAAAGAUUUAUUACUAUCAGAUGGAUCCGCGUCCCAUUAGCUAGUUGGUGGUGUAGAGGACCCCCCAAGGCGACGAUGGGUAGCCGGCCUGAGAGGGCGAACGGCCACACUGGGACUGAGACACGGCCCAGACUCCUACGGGAGGCAGCAGUGGGGAAUCUUCCGCAAUGGGCGAAAGCCCUGACGGAGCAACGCCGCGUGAGGGAAGAAGGCCUUCGGGUUGUAAACCUCUGAUUUCAGGGAAGAAAGAAAUGACGGUACCUGAAGAGUAAGCUCCGGCUAACUACGUGCCAGCAGCUGC